AUGGUGUUGUCCAUGGUGACGGGAAACCAUGAGUCUGGCUCACCAGGAGGAAGGAGGAGAUUGCCACCUGGGGAGGGCACAGCUGAGCCAGGGUCUGCUCCCCAGCUGGCCCAGCCCACCACCUCCACACUAAGGUGGAGGGGAGAAAGCAGCCAGCUGAAACUGGGUAGCAGUGUUCAAAUGGGGACCUGGUGCAGGCAGGCUGGCUCUGGGAAUGUUCGUGGGUGGGGCAGGGUUGGGCCAGACCUUGGUGAUGUUGUCUCCUACAGGUGCAUCUCCUGUGCCUUCAGGAGGAUAGGUGCUGCCCUCUGUGGAUCUGGCAUAGCCUCCUCUGAGAACAGCACUUAUGCCUGUAGUGGCAGCCUCUGUAUGUCCUCCCAUAGGCCUCCAUGCCCUCUGGGCUUAGCCCCCACUCCUGCUCCUGGCCCUCACCAGACUCCAAGCUGUGUGCCUGGAGCAGGUGCUCACUGGGGCUCCUCAUGCAGCACUGGACCACUGUGCCAGGAGCUGGGGAGAGGGCCGGCUCUAGGCUGAGGCUGUAGCUGACCUGGGGAGAAGGGCUGCAGCUGGCCCACCUGCUCUUGUUGUUGGUUGGUCUAGUUGAUGGGGUGCUCAGAGCUCAUAUAUAAAGGGGGCCCCCACUAUGACCUCGCAGCCCAUCCCAUGAUUAUCCCCAUUCUGCCCAGUAUCCUCUAUGAGGUCAGCACAGGCCAGGGGCUGCAGUCCUGGCACAGAGGCCCUGACUCUGCCUGUAAAAUGCAACCCCAGUCAUGAGGAAGAAGCUGCUUUUUGUCUACGCCCAAUCCUCAUCCUACUGAGUGGUGGAAAUUCAUAGGUAGUCAUUCUAGAAGCUUCCCCACUUCCUUGGUGUUGUGUCAUGGUCAACUCUAGUGUUUUAUAUGAUCUGAGUGUUGGGGGGAUGCCUUCAUGCCUGGGCAUAUUGUGUAGCUUUUGUCCCCUUGUAUUUGAUGAUCCACUGAAGACUGGAAGCAGAGUCAUGGCAGCUGAAGCCCUAGUUUCCCUCUCAAGGAGGGCAGAGGGUAUGUGGUCCUGGUGUUUCUUGGGGAAAGAAUGGGGACAUGGUGACAGAGAAGUCCCCUCCCCUAAAGGCAUCCCCAUCCUAAUGCAUGAACCUGUGCACAAGUGUGACUGAGGGUCUGCAGAUGGGGAGCGGGCCUCAUCACUUGGGUGGGUCCCAUGCAAUCACAGAAGUCCUUAGGAGAGAGGAGGAAUGCAGGAAGAGGUGUGCAGAGGCUGUGCUUCUGGCCUUGAGGAUGGUGCUCUAGAUGCUGGAGAGGCUAGAAAAUGAGUUCUGCCCCAGAGCCCAGAGACACCUUGAUUGUAGCCCCAUUAGACCCGUUUGGACUUCUGACCUGCAGAAUUGUGUCAUAAACUCAUGUUGGUUAAAGCUUCGGAGUGUGUGGUGAUUUGUCAAAGUGGCCAUAGAAGAGGAAGCAGGCUUAGUCCUGGGGCCUCACAGGAGUGAAGGGUGACACUGCCUUUCCUGAAUUUAAAUGCUGCUCCCUUUCAGGACAAAGAAACUUUAUAAGAGGCUCAGUCACCCCUCAGGCAAUUGGUAAAUAUACGAAUGCCCAGCUAUGUUCACAUCUCCAUGUCUAGUGAUAUGGUCAAAAUACAAGAAAAGCAAAUCCCCAAAAAGUCCACCUGGGGGGUUGUCUGCCAGCCCUCCAGCCUGCUGUCUUCCUCCUCCUUGCCUUGCUGGGGUGUGUGGGGUUCCAAGAGUCCAGGAAAAGCCAGGUUUAGCUCAAGGCUCCAUGGGGGCUCGUGAUCACCUGGAGGCACAGCCUGCUGACACCUGCCUCAAGGAACUGCUGAGGACCGAAGGCUUGGUGCUCAGUGGAGCCCCAUGAGCAGAAGUCAGAGCUCCCAGGUGUUGGUGGGCCCGAUCCCUUUUAGGAACUGGUCCUGUGGCUCUGGUGGAUCACUGAUGAAACCCCUGGCUUGCUCCAGUGCCAGGAAGUGAUUGUGACACAGGAUCUGUGUCAGGGCUGAGCGUGGGCCUUCCUAGGCCUUGACUGGGCCCAUUAGCCUGGAAUCCUAGUAGGAUUUCUUGCAUCUGCUUCCAUCAUGUGGAGCAUCCUGUGAGAAGGGGGUUGGUUUGGCAGCUCUGAUGGGUAAGUUUGUGUCAUGGGCACAGUGCUUAACCUCCUGUAGGCACUUGAGGACAGAACGGAAAGGGCAGUUCCCCUGCUGCCUGGCCAAGUUACCACUGCUAUGAAAUGGGGACACAAAUGAGAGCUGCUAAAUGAAGGAAAACCUUGAAUUCAUGACUCUACUGGUGACUGUCUUGUUCCCUGUAUAACCAAAGGAACUGUUGAGAUUUCAGCUUUGAAUUGAACUUGUGUGACACUUUGGGGACUGGCAGAUGUUUAACCAGCUCUGGGAACCCCCAGAUACCCUUGGGGUAAGGAAGCCCUGAUGGCCCUCUGAUGCUUAGAGCAUCUUCCCCUGUGGCUCAUUGCCAGCUGCCAGCUGCCAGCUGCAGAACAGGGUGGAAGGACAGUGGCCCUCAAA
rnacentral:lncRNA from 1 species